rnacentral:rRNA from 1 species
CAGCAGCCGCGGGAAAACGAAGGGGGCUAGCGUUGUUCGGAAUUACUGGGCGUAAAGCGCACGUAGGCGGAUAUUUAAGUCAGGGGUGAAAUCCCAGAGCUCAACUCUGGAACUGCCUUUGAUACUGGGUAUCUUGAGUAUGGAAGAGGUGAGUGGAAUUCUGAGUGUAGAGGUGAAAUUCGUAGAUAUUCGGAGGAACACCAGUGGCGAAGGCGGCUCACUGGUCCAUUACUGACGCUGAGGUGCGAAAGCGUGGGGAGCAAACAGGAUUAGAUACCCCGGUAGUCCCUGUCUCUUAUAC